UCUCAAACUCCUGGCCUCAAACAGUCCUCCUGCCUCUGCCUCCCAAAGCCCUAGGAUUAUAGGAGUGAGCCACCACACUGGCUUUCUCUGUGUGUUUAACUGCCAGCUGGGCCUGACCCGUAGUUAGAGCCUAGUAAAUGUUCGGACUGGACACCCUGCUAGGAGCAUUGGGGAAGGGGACUUUGCCUCCCCUUUGCUGUGGGUUUUCCAUGGGCAGGGCAGGGACUUUUGUCUCUUCGACUUAGCCCUUUGGCUAGUUGGAGGAUUAGUGAGCUAAGACCAGACUGCAGCUCCUGCCAUUCAGAAGGCACUGGGUUUCUUUCCUGCCAGUCUCUGCCAAGCCUGGCUUCCCGCUCCUGGCAGGUCCUCUUGGAGUUGGGGUUUCAGGAUUCUUGUCUCGACUGACCUUUCCCGUCCUCCCCUGUGCCAUGUACGGCAACAUUGAUUUUGGUCUUGCAUGCAAAUAUAUGGAAGAUCUUAGAAAAUUAUGGAAAGUGGGGCACACUGAACAAAAUCACUGCCGUCAGAGAGAAUGAAGUGAUGCAAGAUCAGGAGGUGUCGGGAAGCCUAGGCGUGCGUCGCCACGUUGAUCUCCGUGUGAAAUAAGACCGACUCAGUAUCUGCAGCUAAACAACUCUUGAGAAACUCCAAAGGGCUGAGUGCUGCCCAGGCUUCAGGAAAAUAAGACAACAGACACUACGCGCUUUUCCAAUGUGGCUGGCACUCCGUGCUUGCAAUCACAUAUGUGCCACAGACAGGAUUUCUAUCAAACAAACAAGAAGGAGCAGAUGGAUGCCAAGCCCGUCGUCUCUCUCCUGGUGCGUUUAGCAAGAGCCAGUGGCAAAGUCCAGCUUGGGUCAUCAUGGGAAGUUUCCACAUCAUCCAUGAAAUUCUGUGGUGGACUUGUUACCCACACCAUGGGUGGGUUUGAUGGCUUGGUGGCUGGCAGUGCAAUGACAACAGCCAUGUUGGCUUUUAUUACCCACAACACUGGGGAUCAUUUUCAGAGCAGCGCUUUUCUAAUCACUGGAGAAAGCAGGGCUUGCCUUGGGCUGGGGAGCUGAGUCAUUUUAUGUAGAGGCAGAGUCAAGGUGGUCAUAGAUCAUGUUUCCACAUAUGUCGCAUGUAUAGAAAACAGGCUCCUCUCUGGCCAUGGAUUCUAGUGUAGUAACUAGGAGAGUUCCCCAGAGUUCGUCUCUGGAUCCAACCAGUUUUUGUUUUACCAGAGCUGAGCUUUUUGCUGGAACGUUUUGAAACAACAACUCAAGGUGCAACCAUUACUAGUG